rnacentral:rRNA from 1 species
GACGAACCGAGCGAACGUUGUUCGGAAUCACUGGGCUUAAAGGGCGCGUAGGCGGGUGCUCAAGUCUGUGGUGAAAUCCUCCGGCUCAACCGGAGAACUGCCAUGGAUACUGGGUGUCUCGAGGGUGGUAGGGGUAUGCGGAACUAUCGGUGGAGCGGUGAAAUGCGUUGAUAUCGAUAGGAACUCCGGUGGCGAAGGCGGCAUACUGGACCACUUCUGACGCUGAGGCGCGAAAGCCAGGGGAGCGAACAGG